CAGGGGAUUAGUGGCGAACGGGUGAUAACACGUGAGUAACCUGCCCUUGACUCUGGGAUAAGCGCUAGAAAUGGCGUCUAAUACCGGAUACGAGCUUCAGCCGCAUGGCUAGGAGUUGGAAAGAAUUUUGGUCAAGGAUGGACUCGCGGCCUAUCAGCUAGUUGGUGAGGUAAUGGCUCACCAAGGCGACGACGGGUAGCCGGCCUGAGAGGGUGACCGGCCACACUGGGACUGAGACACGGCCCAGACUCCUACGGGAGGCAGCAGUGGGGAAUAUUGCACAAUGGGCGAAAGCCUGAUGCAGCAACGCCGCGUGAGGGAUGACGGCCUUCGGGUUGUAAACCUCUUUUAGUAGGGAAGAAGCGAAAGUGACGGUACCUGCAGAAAAAGCACCGGCUAACUACGUGCCAGCAGCCGCGGUAAUACGUAGGGUGCAAGCGUUGUCCGGAAUUAUUGGGCGUAAAGAGCUCGUAGGCGGUUUGUCGCGUCUGCUGUGAAAUCUG
rnacentral:rRNA from 1 species